rnacentral:rRNA from 1 species
UACGUAGGGUGCAAGCGUUGUCCGGAAUUAUUGGGCGUAAAGAGCUCGUAGGCGGUUUGUCGCGUCUGCUGUGAAAACCCGAGGCUCAACCUCGGGCCUGCAGUGGGUACGGGCAGACUAGAGUGCGGUAGGGGAGAUUGGAAUUCCUGGUGUAGCGGUGAAAUGCGCAGAUACCAGGAGGAACACCGGUGGCGAAGGCGGAUCUCUGGGCCGUAACUGACGCUGAGGAGCGAAAGCAUGGGGAGCGAACAGG